CUCUCUUACCGGCAGCAGCACUCGUGUGUGUGUGUGUGUGUGUGUGUGUGUGUGGCGCAGUCAUACAGAUGCAGUGAGUCCAGACAGCAGCAUGUGAGCGCCAGUGUGAGUGUGUGUGCUGGGAGCAGGUGUUUUCGCGAGCCGUUAGAGACAGGGACACACACACACACACACACACACUCCAAAAGAGCAGCAGCACGGAGGCAGCCGGGACUAUUUGCCUUUUGUUUGUUUUUUGUUUAGUUUGUUCUUCCUCUUCCUCCUCGUGAUUGUGGGAGGCGCGCUCUCCUCUCAUCCUCUCGCUCUGUCCAUCAUCUUCUCAUCUCUCUCUCAUUUGUAGUUUCUCUGAUUUGUGAGCCGCCGAAGGUUUUACAGGACUGUGUGUUCUUCUUUUCUCUUCCUAUUCCUCCUUUGGUUGUUUGACUGUAGGUAGGUUGAUUUGUGUUCACUGUAGUGUGUGUGUGUGUGUGUGUGUGAGAGAGAGAGUGUGUUCUGUUUGUGAAGCACACACAUGAACACACACAUGCAGUGACGUAGAGAGAGAGAGACGUGUGUCUUACCUCAGGCAGGUGUGUGUGUGUGUGUGUGUGUGAUCACAAACACAUUAUAAUACACACUCAUCUCUCUCCCUCUCUUCAUUCUACUGGUCUCUCACCUGUGUGUGUUUGCACACAUCAGUCUAACACACACACCCUUCAUAAUCCCACUCACUCCAUUAUCUCUCCCUGAGUUUCAUUCAUUGAUCUGCCGUUAUUUCUGAUAUACACUGUUAUUCACGCAUCAGCGCUCUUGUGUGUGUGUGUGUGUGUGUGAGAGAGAGAGUAAUGAACCUGUUUAUUACUAGAGAGUAUCAUCAGACCAUGUAAAGUAAUCCUUGUGUGUGUGCGCGCGCGCUUCGCCUCCAUCACCCCAGCGUGUCUCUCCGCGGUCGUAUAGGUGUGUGUCUGACAGUCCUCGCGCUGGAUGAGUGUUUGGACGCAGCUCUUCUCUUCUGUUUCUCCUGAGGAGACCCGCUUCAUCCAUGGGUCUGGACUGCGUCGCGUCUCCAGAUGAGCAGACACACGCGCCUCUUUCUGCUCUUUUACAAUUGGACUAAAUGCGGAGUGAAGCCGUUUCAGCAGAGGUGAAUGUGAACGGGACGCCGGAUCCGCCGGAGGACGUGCGCGCGACCGAGACUUGGGCUGUUCGACACUCUGAAAACCAGGACUCUGAAGAUCAGCAGCUCCAGAGGACAAACACACACACAAGAACAGAGAGAGAUACUGUAGACUGACUGCUAUCAGUGUCCACAGUAGGGUAUGAGAACGCUACAGCAUCAUGUGGUUUCUGAGAUGGAGGAGUGAGAGUUCAGCUGAAAACACACGAGGGUUUUCGCUCCUCCAUCAUGUCCGUCUGCAUUUACCGUGGCUUAGCUCCCCCCUCUCAGGCAAGGCGGGCGUGGCUUCGUGUUCUGGCUCCGCCCCCACAUCACUGGCCCCGCCCGUCGCUGCAGCAGCUGUUGGCCGUGUGUCUGCUGCUGCUGCUGCCACUGGCCGUCCAAUCACGGCGCGAGCGAGGCGGAGGGGGCGUGGCCCAGUAUAUCCCAUCAUCAGUGGCUCAGUAUCCGCCCGUCUCCAAGCUGAUGCAGGGCCUGAGCAUCGCAGUGGUGCUGGUGGGGAACUCCAGUGAGGUGGCGCUCGCCGGCAUGCGUGACAAAGAUGACUUUGGCCACAUGCCGCUGGCGCCCAGUGUUGAGAUGGUCACCAUGAACGAGACGGACCCCAAGAGCAUCAUCAAGAGCAUCUGCGACCUGAUGAUGGAGCACUGGCUGCAGGGCGUAGUGUUCGGAGACGACACCGACCAGGAGGCCAUCGCACAGAUCCUGGACUUCAUCUCCGCGCAGACACACAUCCCCAUCCUGGGAGUGAAGGGAGGCUCCUCCAUGAUCAUGGCUGCUAAGGACGAUAACUCCAUGUUCUUUCAGUUCGGACCCUCCAUCGAGCAGCAGGCGUCCGUCAUGCUCAACAUCAUGGAGGAGUACGACUGGUACAUCUUCUCCAUCGUCACCACUUACUACCCCGGCUACCAGGACUUUGUUACUAAGAUCCGCAGCACCAUUGAGAACAGUUUUGUCGGCUGGGAGCUGGAGGAGGUGCUGCUGCUGGACAUGUCUGUGGACGACGGAGACACUAAGAUCCAGAACCAGCUGAAGAAGCUGCAGAGUCCCGUCAUCCUGCUCUACUCCACCAAAGAGGAGGCCAACAUCAUCUUCCAGGUGGCACACUCCGUGGGGCUGACGGGCUACGGUUACACCUGGAUCGCCCCGUCUCUGGUGGCCGGAGACGCCGACCACAUCCCGGCCGAGUUCCCCACAGGCAUGAUCUCAGUGUCGUAUGACGAGUGGGAUUAUGGGCUGGAGGCGCGCGUGCGUGACGGUGUAGCUGUGAUCGCAUCAGCCACCUCCACCAUGAUGAUGGACCGCGGGCCGGACAUGCUCCUGAGGUCUGAGUGCCACGGGGCCCCUGACAGGAAGAGCCCCAUCACAGGAAACCACAACGAAGUGCACAGGUAUCUGAUGAACGUGACCUUCGAGGGCCGGAAUCUCUCCUUCAGUGAGGACGGCUAUCAGAUGCACCCCAAACUGGUGAUCAUCCUGCUGAACAAGGACAGACAGUGGGACAGAGUGGGUAAGUGGGAGAACGGCUCUCUGUCGAUGAAGUUUCACGUGUGGCCACGGUUCGAGCUCUACUCUGGGACAGAGAGCCGAGAGGAUGAUCAUCUGUCCAUCGUGACGCUGGAGGAGGCUCCGUUCGUGAUGGUGGAGGACGUGGAUCCACUCAGCGGCACCUGCAUGAGGAACACGGUUCCCUGCCGAAAGCAGCUCAAAAUACUGAAUCAGACGGGGGAUUCUGGCAUCUACAUCAAGCGCUGCUGUAAAGGCUUCUGUAUCGACAUCCUGAAGAAGAUUGCCAAGUCUGUGAAGUUCACCUACGACCUUUAUCUGGUCACCAACGGCAAACACGGCAAGAAGAUCAACGGCACGUGGAACGGGAUGGUGGGAGAGGUGGUGCUGAAGAAUGCUCACAUGGCCGUUGGCUCGCUGACCAUCAAUGAGGAGAGGUCAGAGGUCAUCGAUUUCUCUGUGCCCUUCAUUGAGACAGGCAUAAGCGUCAUGGUCUCACGGAGCAACGGCACCGUGUCUCCAUCUGCGUUCCUCGAGCCAUUCAGUGCUGAUGUCUGGAUCAUGAUGUUCGUUAUGCUACUGCUGGUUUGUGCCAUUGCAGUGUUCGUGUUCGAAUACUUCAGUCCCGUUGGCUACAAUCGCCGUCUCAUCGAUGGCAGAGAGGCCGGAGGUCCAUCGUUCACCAUUGGAAAGGCCAUCUGGUUGCUCUGGGGUUUGGUCUUCAAUAAUUCUGUCCCAGUGCAAAACCCCAGAGGAACCACCAGCAAGAUUAUGGUGUCUGUUUGGGCCUUCUUUGCUGUGAUUUUCUUGGCCAGCUAUACUGCUAACCUGGCCGCAUUUAUGAUUCAGGAAGAGUACGUGGACCAGGUGUCAGGCCUCAGCGACAAAAAGUUUCAGAGACCCAAUGACUUCUCCCCACCAUUUCGCUUUGGGACGGUGCCAAAUGGCAGCACUGAGAGAAAUAUCCGCAAUAACUACAGAGAGAUGCACUCCUACAUGGUCAAAUUCCACCAGCGCAAUGUGGAUGAAGCGCUGUACAGUCUGAAAACAGGCAAGCUGGAUGCCUUCAUUUACGAUGCCGCCGUGCUGAAUUACAUGGCGGGCAGAGAUGAGGGCUGUAAGCUGGUCACCAUUGGCUCUGGAAAAGUGUUCGCUUCCACCGGCUAUGGCAUCGCCAUUCAGAAAGACUCGGGUUGGAAGAGACAGGUGGACCUCGCCAUCCUCCAGCUCUUUGGAGACGGUGAUAUGGAGGAGUUCGAGGCUCUCUGGCUCACCGGGAUCUGCCACCAUGAAAAGAAUGAAGUGAUGAGCAGUCAGCUGGAUGUGGACAAUAUGGCGGGUGUGUUCUACAUGCUGGGUGCUGCCAUGGCUCUGUCCCUUAUCACCUUCAUCGCUGAACACGUCUUUUACUGGCACCUGCGCUUCUGCUUCAUUGGCGUGUUUUCUGGGAAACCAGGGUUCACCUUCACAAUCAGCAGGGAGAUAUAUAGCUGUAUUCAUGGAGUUGAAAUCGAAGAUAAGAGUUCAGCACUGAAUUCACCCUCAGCUACCAUGAACAACACCCACUCGAAUAUUCUGCGUUUGCUGCGCACCGCCAAGAACAUGGCAUCUCUUUCCGGUGUCAACAGUUCCCCACACAGUGCACUGGACUUCAUUCCGCCGAGAGUCCUCUGUGUAUGACAUCAGCGAGCACUGCCGCAGCCUGGCCGGACACUCAGACUGCAAGGCCCCAUACCUGCUGGAGGACAACAUGUUCAGCGACUACAUCAGUGAGGUGGAGCGCACCUUUGGCAACCUACACCUGAAGGACAGUAAUCUCUACCAGGACCACUACCUGCACCACCAUGGAGGCUCAACAAUGGGACUGAUGGGCCCAUCCCAUAACCGGCCCCACAGCCUGGGCUCCAGCAGUUCUCUGGAGGGCGGCAUGUUUGACUGCGAUAGCCUGGGCGGUGGUGUGGCCCCUAUCUUUAGCACACAGCCGCGCUCUGCCCUGACCCACAGGAACAUGAGCAAAUUCGACCUGCUGCAGAGCAAGACUCCUCCGUCUGGGUUAAAGCAGGGACUGGCCGACCUGUAUGGAAAAUUCUCCUUCAAAGGCGUGUCUAGAGUGUCUAGUUCCGGAUAUAUUGCAGGCCACGACCCAGUUUUGUGACGGUGCAGAUGAUGGAAACAUCCGUUCUGAUGUGUCUGACAUUUCCACUCAUACUGUGACCUAUGGCAAUCUGGAGGGCAAUGCCAAGAAACGCAAGCAGUAUAGAGACAGCCUGAAGAAGCGCCCUGCAUCUGCAAAGUCCAGACGAGAACUUGACGAGAUCGAGCUGGGUUACCGCCGCCGCCAGCACCAUGGCCACCAUCAUCAUCACCAUGGUCAUCGCUCAGCUGCACCUCCAGAUGAGCACAAACAAGGUGGUGGUGUGAGCUCAACCUCAUAUCUGUUACAAGACAAGGAAAGCCUGAGGGAUUUCUACCUGGACCAGUUCCGGCCCAAAGAAGGCGUCCUGCAGUGGGAGCAUGUGGAUCUUACAGAUGGUCCCAGUGGGGGAGGAGGAGGCAACUGCACCAGCCUGGUGUCUGUGGAUGACUUCCUGAAGAGCAAACCCAAGAAGCCGGACAGCAGGAGUGGGAGCAGUGAGUGGGAAUGUCGUAGUUGUCGUGCAAGCAGUGCGGGCAGCAAGCAGACGGCCCUGCAUGGAGUUCUGCACAUGGGUGGGACAGGCUACAUUGGCAGUGGUUGUGUGGCAGCGGGUGCUGGAGGAGGGGUUGGGAGCAGCCGCCCAACUUCAGCAACUUGUAUGAGGUGCGAAGCCUGCAAGAAGUCAGGCAACCUGUAUGACAUCAGCGAGGACAGUAACCACCUGUUGGAUCAACUGGGAAGCAGUAGGGGUCAGACACCAUUGCAACGCCGCAGGGCCUUCAGCGGGAAACCGCUACGCCGCCAACAUUCCUAUGACACCUUUGUGGACCUGCAGAGAGAAGAGUUAGGUGUGCCGCUGGGGUUCGGCGGCCCUGGGGCACUGCCAGCACCACGCAGUGUGAGCCUCAAGGAGAAGGAGCGCUGCAUAGAUGCCUCUAGUCCCUUCGCACACAUAUUUGAGCAUCCUGGAGAUCGCAAGCAGGACACAGACCAUGACCCGCUGUUCUAUGGAGCUGCUGAAAGGAGUGUGGUAUCGCCAUUCGGGUUGUUCAGAGUGGGGGAGAAUACACCUCAUGGAGGACUCAUGGAGGGGCCAGCUCACUCCUUAUCCAAAUCUCUCUAUCCUGACCGAACCGACCACAACCCCUUCAUCCCCACAUUUGGAGAUGACCAGUGUCUGCUGCAUGGUGCCAAGUCCUACUAUAUCACCAAGCAGCAGCAGCACAGCGACUUGCUCAGCCCCAUGGGCAUGACCUCUUUCCUGCCGGCAUCAGCCACCUCCAGAGUCAUGUCUAACUUUGCUCCGCACUUUCCUCCCAGAUUUGUGCAUGGGGAACCACCACACCAGCAAGCUCAGUCUCGGUCCACCACGACCUUUUAACGACAAUAAUGGACACAUGUAUGAGAAGCUCUCUAGCAUAGAGUCUGACGUUUGAGAAAAAGCAAUGAGCAUGGUAAAGAACAGAGAAGCAUUCUGUUAGCCAGAUUUUAGCAGAAUAAACAGAACUUGAGAGAAUUGAAAAUGUCAUUUCCUGUCAAGUUCACAUUUACACCAAUGGGCUCAUCUUCACGAGCUGGUGAGAACAAAAGCACGUCCAUCUGUUGAGUGUGUGCAUGAAAAGAACAAGAGAGCAGAUGUCCCGUUUCACCUACGUCCCCUCGCAUCACACCAGAACAGCCCUGUCCUGUACCCUUGUCUUUCGUGAAGAUACAAUCAUGAAAACAUAAUAAAUGCUCUUUUUUUUUUUUCUUUUGAAACAGGGUAAUAACUGUACCUCAGAGAUGUAGUGAAGACACUGCUGACUGGUAAUCUGUUAUUGAAAUUGGGUUUCAUUUGUUUGAUGUUUUCCUGACCCUGCUCUGGAGGCCUUUGCUGAGCAUUAGGGAUAUUUAAAUGUGAUGAUCAAUCCACAUUCAACCUAAUGUAUCCAUGGCAACAGCCUCUCCCAUGCUGUGUACUGCCAUGAAACACGUGUGCAUUAGUGAAAGUGCACAAGCCUCUGCUGUGUUUUAUGCUCUCAUUUAUAUUCAAGUCUCUACUGCCAUGAUAUUUCAUAUCCAGCAAGAUAUCUUCUUGAUACGCCUUUGGUUACACUCACGUCAUAUGACUCUUGCUUAGAAGUUUGAACAAUAAGGGGUUAAAAGACAUUAUUGUCAUAUGUUUUGGUUGUAAAUAUAUUUCUCUUUAUAUAAGCCAUCAAGGUCAACCUUUAAUAUAGCUUUUUUCAAGUAUAACAAAUAACCAAAAUAAAGACUAAAACAAAACAAAAUGACAAAAACAUAAAAUAUGCAAAUUUUAGCAAAAGCAUUAUAACUCACGAUAAGUGAUAUUUUAAGCGAUAAUUUGCUUUUUAAAUACGUUUAUUACUUGAUUCUGAUAGUUUACUGCCUCCUAACCGGCUUAUUUUUAAGGAUUUACCUUCAUUUGUUUACCUGCAGUACAACAGAGCUGAGCAGUGCUGUCGUAGACAUGUUUAGUUUACUUGAUCGGUGUACCAAAUACUCCUUUCUAAGUUUCUCUUAAAUUGUGUUUAGAUGUCUGGUCGCUGGCUGGAGAGGUCCAGGUUCUCUCUCUCUCUCUCUCUCUCUCUCUCACACACACACACACACACACACACACACAGAGAUCUCCAGCAUCCAUCACAAAGAGUGUUUUACGAUCUAAAGCAGGGUUUUUUUUACCUUUCCUAAGGACUGAUUGACUUUGUAAAGCUGAUUAGUAAGCUGCUAGAGUGUCAUGUUUUGAAUUGUAAUACUAUCGUGAGGUCCUGUCCUCGCUUUAGAAUAAUCUUUCAUCUCCUCUUGUAUUGUUUCUGCAGUUAGAGUAACUCUAAUCAUGUCUUUAAACCUUUUUUUUUCUUUUUAGAGCAUUACUAUUAUUAUAAUUAUUAUUGUUAUUAUUAUUCUAGAAAAGCGUUUUAGGGUGUUUUCUUCUCAUAUGUUGAAGCUGGCGGUGUUCCCAUCAUAGCACAGUAAUCUAUGUUUGAGUUUUCCUAAAAACAUAUAGUUUAGAUACACACACACACACACACACAGAGUUCCCUAUGAACCCCAUGCUUAAAGCUCGAGCUCUAUAUGCUUAACAGUUCUUGUGUUCAUAGAGAAAUACGCCUAUUACGCAUAGCUGUAGUUAUAAUUUUUGUAGUGUAUUCGCAAUAUAUAAGCAACUUUUAACGUUCUUUUGACUACUAUAUUCUCAUUAUUCUAAGGUAAGUAUAGCUGGUUUAAAGUAUUCUACAGGUAAGAAACAUCCUGUUGUUAUUCACAAAGUCCAUCUGUUAUUUUCUCCACACAAUCGAUGAAUUUGUCGCUCAUCGGGGUGAUAAAGGCAUGCGUGCGUGUGCGUGAGACUCUUGUUGCUAUGGCACUGCCAUGGUGUUACGAUGCUGUUCCCAUGGUAACUGCAGUGCAAGAGGAUGCGGGCUGAAUGAGUGAAUUGUUUCACUAUGGAAUAUCCACUUUGAUAUGUUACCCAAAUUUUUACGUCAUUUACAUCUCUGAAAUUAUUUUCAAGUGGAAACAUGUACAGAUUGUGUAUAUAAAAAUGAGGGAAUUCCUCCUUUUGUAUGACAACAUGAACACAAACCUCUAUGAGAUUUUAAUAAUGAGUGAGUGUUUUGAUGAUGAUGAUGGAUCAGAAUACUUUCACAUGCUGAAUAAAGCCAAUUAAAGUACACUCUUA